UCCAUGGAGGCUCAGAGGUUAAAGUAUCUGCCUGGAAUGCAGAAGACCCAGGUUCAAUCCUUGGGUCAGAGAA
rnacentral:tRNA from 1 species